rnacentral:rRNA from 1 species
AUUGAACGCUGGCGGCAUGCUUUACACAUGCAAGUCGAACGGUAACAGGCCGCAAGGUGCUGACGAGUGGCGAACGGGUGAGUAAUGCAUCGGAACGUGCCCAGUCGUGGGGGAUAACGCAGCGAAAGCUGCGCUAAUACCGCAUACGAUCUAUGGAUGAAAGCGGGGGACCGUAAGGCCUCGCGCGAUUGGAGCGGCCGAUGUCAGAUUAGGUAGUUGGUGGGGUAAAGGCUCACCAAGCCAACGAUCUGUAGCUGGUAUGAGAGGACGACCAGCCACACUGGGACUGGGACACGGCCCAGACGCCUACGGGAGGCAGCAGUGGGGAAUUUUGGACAAUGGGCGCAAGCCUGAUCCAGCAAUGCCGCGUGCAGGAAGAAGGCCUUCGGGUUGUAAACUGCCUUUGUACGGAACGAAACGGUCCUGGUUAAUACCUGGGGCUAAUGACGGUACCGUAAGAAUAAGCACCGGCUAACUACGUGCCAGCCGCCGCCGUAACAC